rnacentral:rRNA from 1 species
GAUGAACGCUGGCGGCGUGCUUAACACAUGCAAGUCGAACGGGAUCCAAGGAGCGUUUUUCGUUUUUUGGUGUGAGUGGCGAACGGGUGAGUAACACGUGAGUAACCUGUCCUUUUCUUUGGGAUAAGCUCCUGAAAGGGUGUUUAAUACCUUAUGUUCUGUCUGCCUCGCAUGGGGUGGGUGGGAAAGAUUUUUUCGGUGAAGGGUGGGCUCGCGGUCUAUCAGCUUGUUGGUGGGGUGAUGGCUUACCAAGGCUUUGACGGGUAGCCGGCCUGAGAGGGUGGUCGGUCACAUUGGGGCUGAGAUACGGCCCAGACUCCUGCGGGAGGCAGCAGUGGUGGAUAUUGCACGAUGGGCGCAAGCCUGAUGCAGCGACGCCGCGUGGGGGAUGAAGGCCUUCGGGUUGUAAACUUCUUUUGCUCUGAACAAGGCGCAUCUUUGGGGUGUGUUGAGUGUAGGGGUUGAUUAGCGCCGGCUAACUACGUG